ACACGUUUGUGUUGCUAAUUUUUUCAUUCACAGUCUGUGCCAUCUCAAUCAGCUUCCACGUUUGAACGUUGGAGGCGAACCUCUCACGGCAAACUGAUCGCCAGUCGGCAUGUCCUUCAACCAUGGAAAUCUUUACAAGUUGUCAACAUCAGCCACAAUUGCAUCAAAUCUCUUGAUCAGUCACUACAUCUCAUGCCUCAUGUGAAACAGAUGAGUGUGAGUCACAAUGAGUUGGAACAGUUAGAUUUCCAGCAGUUGAGUCAAAUGUUGUUGGUCAAAGUAGACGUCUCAUUCAAUACUCUCAAACUGCUGCUGUCCAGUAAACAGGUGCCAUUGCUAUACAUUAAUAUUGUUGAUUGGUUGUUGAUGGACGUGUGUGUUGUGUACAUGGAACAUAAAUUUAAUAAAAGAACUUGAUCUCAGCAACAACAGAAUUAACAAGCUAAAGGGUUGUGAGAAUCUUGUUAAUCUCGUUCAUCUCAAUGUGAAGAAUAAUCUUCUCACUCAUGCGAAUGAACUGAAUUGUUUGUCAAAUCUCGCUCAUUUGUCAGACUUGGUGGUGACAGGAAAUCCGUUUGCGAGGGGAAUGUUGCAUAGGUCAAGUGUGUUUGCUAGAUUGCAUCUUGUUGCUAGACAGUUAACUUUAGACGGCUACAAGAUGUCACGAAGAGACGAGUCGAAAAUCCGUCGUCACACGUCUGUCUAUUCUCCACAUCAUCUCAUCUCAAACACAUCAUCAUCAUCCAGACCUCAUCACUCUCACUCUUUAUCCGUCCCUACUUAUUCCUAGAGUUUGGCCUCUGGUCAUCGAGGACACGCCCACACACCAGAGGAAUUUAAUGAGUUGAGGACACAGUCAUCGACUGCAUCUCCACACACUGUGGCAGUCCCUCAUUGCCAUGUUGAUAUCAAUGAUUUGAAUCAGAGCGGACACGAUUCACUGAGUCAAUUGUCGUCUCUUUUGGGUGAAAAUCUGAGUGAGGGAGAGGGUUAUGAGAUGAGAAAGAGUGGAGCAAUUUAGCACAUGUUGACUAGAUGAGUGACGAUGCAUGCGGGUCUUGCAGUCAAUCGGGUCAGCACAUGCACACACAAUAGAUCGUCACGAUGCAUAGAGGUAGAAAUGAUUACUCGGUUUUAAUCGACAGAUUUAUGUGAUUGUUUUAGCAUUCAGCAAUAAAUAUUUUUCUAAAUAAAAAUUGGUUUGGAGUGAC